CAGUCUUGCAAGGCAAGGGCUGACGUGUGCAGCUGACAGAACGGCAGAGUGAGGGGAAAUAGAGGAGGCUUGUUUCUCCCUCCUGGCUGCACCUGACUCUACUUAGGGCCCCUGUGGUAAAAAGUGCCAUUUGGGGGAAGGGAUCUCUCACAGUGAAGGCCAGACACUGCUGCUCCCAGAGAAGUAUGUGCCCAAAACAGAAGAGCUGGUCACUUGGGAAGAACUGCCUUUUGUAGUAGCUGACGGUCAUAGAGCCCAUUUGUGUCCCAAGGCUCAAGGUCCAUCGUCUUUUGCCCUGGAGCUGACUCUGUGACUCCUAUAUUAGAAAUGAAUGGCAUAAAGAGCUCUCACCCAGAACCCAUUGCCUAAGUCAUG